AUACGUAGGGAGCAAGCGUUGUUCGGAUUUACUGGGCGUAAAGGGCGCGUAGGCGGCAUAUUAAGUCAGCUGUGAAAUCUCCGAGCUUAACUCGGAACUGUCAGCAGAUACUGAUGUGCUAGAGUGCGGAAGGGGCAAUCGGAAUUCUUGGUGUAGCGGUGAAAUGCGUAGAUAUCAAGAGGAACACCUGAGGUGAAGACGGGUUGCUGGGCUGACACUGACGCUGAGGCGCGGAAGCCAGGGGAGCAAACG
rnacentral:rRNA from 1 species